rnacentral:lncRNA from 1 species
CCGUUCGGCGCGGGCCAUGAGUACCCUGCGGCAAAUUAGAGGGAGCCGCGGCCACUGCAGCUCGUGCCGCACGGCCACGCAUGGGUAUUCGUGACAAGUUACGUUGGGGGCGCCACUCCCUUUCUGCAUGAGAGGGCCGCAGCGCAUUUAUGGUGAGGUCGAUACGGGGACCCACGAGAUCGGCACCCUAAUCCUCCAGUCCGCGCCUGAGGCGGAUAUUUGUCUUGUGGACCCGAGCGUGUCUGACCCCCGCACCCAGGGUCGGGCGAGGCGGAGUUUUGCGGCGGGGGUCGGGCGCUCCCAACCUCGGUCCUCUGGGUCGGGCGAGGCGGAGUUUAGUCUUCAAGGGGUCGGGAACGUCCGACCUCGGGACUCCGGGUCGGGCGAGGCGGAACGUGGCCUCUCCCUCCCAUAUUGGGCCGACA